GAACGAGUCAAAAAAUAACAUCGUCCGAUCCCUAGUCGGCAUAGUUUAUGGUUAAGACUACGACGGUAUCUG
rnacentral:rRNA from 1 species